rnacentral:rRNA from 1 species
UACGGAGGGUGCGAGCGUUGUCCGGAUUUAUUGGGUUUAAAGGGUGGCGUAGGCGGUUUAUUAAGUCAGUGGUGAAAGACGGUCGCUCAACGAUUGCAGUGCCAUUGAUACUGGUAGACUUGAGUUCGUAUGAGGUAGCUGGAAUGGAUAGUGUAGCGGUGAAAUGCAUAGAUAUUAUCCAGAACUCCAAUUGCGUAGGCAGGUUACUAAUACGAUACUGACGCUGAUGCACGAAAGUGUGGGGGAUCAAACAGGAUUAGAUACCCGCGUAGU